rnacentral:rRNA from 1 species
UACGUAGGGUGCAAGCGUUGUCCGGAAUUAUUGGGCGUAAAGAGCUCGUAGGCGGUUUGUCGCGUCUGCUGUGAAAUCCCGAGGCUCAACCUCGGGCUUGCAGUGGGUACGGGCAGACUAGAGUGCGGUAGGGGAGAUUGGAAUUCCUGGUGUAGCGGUGAAAUGCGCAGAUAUCAGGAGGAACACCGGUGGCGAAGGCGGAUCUCUGGGCCGAUACUGACGCUGAGGAGCGAAAGCGUGGGGAGCGAACAGG